rnacentral:rRNA from 1 species
GAUGAACGCUGGCGGCGUGCCUAAUACAUGCAAGUCGAGCGAACGGACGAGAAGCUUGCUUCUCUGAUGUUAGCGGCGGACGGGUGAGUAACACGUGGAUAACCUACCUAUAAGACUGGGAUAACUUCGGGAAACCGGAGCUAAUACCGGAUAAUAUUUUGAACCGCAUGGUUCAAAAGUGAAAGACGGUCUUGCUGUCACUUAUAGAUGGAUCCGCGCUGCAUUAGCUAGUUGGUAAGGUAACGGCUUACCAAGGCAACGAUGCAUAGCCGACCUGAGAGGGGGAUCGGCCACACUGGAACUGAGACACGGUCCAGACUCCUACGGGAGGCAGCAGUAGGGAAUCUUCCGCAAUGGGCGAAAGCCUGACGGAGCAACGCCGCGUGAGUGAUGAAGGUCUUCGGAUCGUAAAACUCUGUUAUUAGGGAAGAACAUAUGUGUAAGUACUGUGCACAUCUUGACGGUACCUAAUCAGAAAGCCACGGCUAACUACGUG